rnacentral:rRNA from 1 species
AACGAACGCUGGCGGCAUGCCUAACACAUGCAAGUCGAACGAGACCUUCGGGUCUAGUGGCGCACGGGUGCGUAACGCGUGGGAACCUGCCCUUAGGUUCGGAAUAACUCCCCGAAAGGGGUGCUAAUACCGGAUAAUGUCUUCGGACCAAAGAUUUAUCGCCUUUGGAUGGGCCCGCGUUGGAUUAGCUAGUUGGUAGGGUAAAAGCCUACCAAGGCGACGAUCCAUAGCUGGUCUGAGAGGAUGAUCAGCCACACUGGGACUGAGACACGGCCCAGAGUCCUACGGGAGGCAGCAGUGGGGAAUAUUGGACAAUGGGCGAAAGCCUGAUCCAGCAAUGCCGCGUGAGUGAUGAAGGCCUUAGGGUUGUAAAGCUCUUUUACCCGGGAUGAUAAUGGCAGUACCGGGAGAAUAAGCUCCGGCUAACUCCGUG